AAUAUGGGACAAUGGGCGAAAGCCUGAUCCAGCCAGGCCGCGAGUGUGAAGAAGGUCUUCGGAUUGUAAAGCACUUUAAGUAGGGAGGAAGGGUUGUAGAUUAAUACUCUGCAAUAUUGACGUAACCGACAGAAUAAGCACUGACUAACUCCGUGCCAGCAGCCCCGGUAAUACGUAGGGUGCAAGCGUUAAUCGGAAUUACUGGGCGUAAAGCGCUCGUAGGUGGUUCGUUAAGUUGGAUGUGAAAGCCCCGGGCUCAACCUGGGAACUGCAUGCAAAACUGGCGAGCUAGAGUACGGUAGAGGGUGGUGGAAUUUCCUGUGUAGCGGUGAAAUGCGUAGAUAUAGGAAGGAACACCAGUGGCGAAGGCGACCACCUGGACUGAUACUGACACUGAGGUGCGAAAGCGUGGGGAGCAAACAGG
rnacentral:rRNA from 1 species